rnacentral:ncRNA from 2 species
GUGCGUCUUCAGGGCGGGGCGAAAUUCCCCACCGGCGGUGUGCGUGCGGACCGAAAGGCCGCUCACGAGCCCGCGAGCGCCCGUGCGGCAGUAUUCACGGGGUCAGCAGAUCUGGUGCGAAGCCAGAGCCGACGGUCAUAGUCCGGAUGGAAGAAGAUGUGC